ACGCAUUGAGAGCACACUCAUGGAUAAACCGCAUAGCAUGAGUCUUUGCAAGUGAAGGGAUUGGUACAAUCCAUGCUGCCUGAGCAGCCCAAGUCCUUAGGAUGAGGACGAGGGCACCAUGACCAGGUGGCUCACUGCAUGAGUGGCCCAUGCAAAGGCCUAGACUCCACCAACACUGUGCUCAGACACCAGAGUUUCCACAGGAAUGCAGCUGGGGUGGAGCGAGCCUAAAAGUGCUUCCAUGAGCUUCAGCAGCGGACUGCACAGCUGUUCCCUUCUGUCCUUUCUCACACGUGACAUAGGAGCUUUGAAGGGUGUGCAAGGCACAGCUCCGAGUGUUUGCCAUCUCGCCUGAGUCUUUGUUUCCUCUCUUGUCACUGCAAUACGUUUUCCCGAUGAAGGCAACUUAAGAAAGGACAGGUUUAUUUUAGCUCACAAUCCAAGGUGUGCGUACAUGAAGGAAGCUGUUCACAGAGAGGGUUUUGAUCCUCUCUAACUGGAGUUACAGAAGGUUGGGAGACACCGUGUGACCGCUGGGAACUGAACCUGGGUCCGAUGGAAGAGCAGCUCUAAAGGCUGAGUCACCUCCAUAGCCUGCCCAUGGGUGUGGCCAUUGUUUGUAGAAUUAUUGUCAUAUUUUCUAGCUCCUCACUGUGAAUAAAGGACUCACUAUUUACUGUC